rnacentral:rRNA from 1 species
UGGGGAAUUUUGGACAAUGGGGGCAACCCUGAUCCAGCCAUGCCGCGUGAGUGAAGAAGGCCUUCGGGUUGUAAAGCUCUUUCGGCUGGGAAGAAAUCGCAUCUCCUAAUACGGGGUGUGGAUGACGGUACCAGCAUAAGAAGCACCGGCUAACUACGUGCCAGCAGCCGCGGUAAUACGUAGGGUGCGAGCGUUAAUCGGGAUUACUGGGCGUAAAGCGUGCGCAGGCGGUUUCGUAAGACAGACGUGAAAUCCCCGGGCUCAACCUGGGAACUGCGUUUGUGACUGCGAGGCUAGAGUUUGGCAGAGGGGGGUGGAAUUCCACGUGUAGCAGUGAAAUGCGUAGAGAUGUGGAGGAACACCGAUGACGAAGGCAGCCCCCUGGGCCAAUACUGACGCUCAUGCACGAAAGCGUGGGGAGCACACA